rnacentral:tRNA from 1 species
AGCUAAGUGGCAGAUAAAUGCGGUAGAUUUAAGCUUUAUGAAUGGAGGUCUUCCCUUAGCUU